UACGUAGGGGGCAAGCGUUGUCCGGAAUCAUUGGCCGUAAAGAGCGUGUAGGCGGCCCGGUAAGUCCGCUGUGAAAGUCCAGGGCUCAACCCUGGGAUGCCGGUGGAUACUGUCGGGCUCGAGUCCGGAAGAGGAGUGUGGAAUUCCUGGUGUAGCGGUGAAAUGCGCAGAUAUCGGGAAGAACACCUAUGGCGAAGGCAGCUCUCUGGGACGGUACUGACGCUGAGACGCGAAAGCGUGGGGAGCAAACAGG
rnacentral:rRNA from 1 species